GAUGAAGACGCAGCGAAAUGCGAUAAGUAAUGUGAAUUGCAGAAUUCAGUGAAUCAUCGAAUCUUUGAACGCACCUUGCGCCCUUUGGCCAUUCCGAAGGGCAUGCCUGUUUGAGUAUCAUGAACACCUCAACUCUCAUGGCUUGCCAUGAUGAGCUUGGACUUUGGGGGUCUUGCUGGCCUGUGGUCGGCUCCUCUCAAAUGAAUCAGCUUGCCAGUGUUUGGUGGCAUCACAAGUGUGAUAACUAUCUGCGCUCGUGGUUUCCAUCAGAUAACCUCCAGUGAUGGAGGUUCGCUGGAGCUCAUAAAUGUCUCUCCUAAGCGAGGACAGCUCUUUUAAUGUUUGAUCUCAAAUCAGGUAGGACUACCCGCUGAACUUAAGCAUAUCAAUAAGCGGAGGA
rnacentral:misc_RNA from 1 species